GGGAUACAUGGUCUGCAACAAUCUCUAGGCAGGUGGUGGUAUGUGUCAAAGUAAGAUUCACAUAAUUGUCAGGUCCCAAGGUUUCCCAGGAGCACAUUGCCCGGAGCAUAACUCUGCCUCCAUCAGCCUGCCUUCUUCCCAUAGUGCAUCCUGCGACCAUCUCUUCCCCAGGUAAAUGAUACCCACUAACCACUGCAUACCGUGUACACCCCACAAAACAUGCCAUUUUGGAAAUGCUCUGACCCAGUCGUCUAGCCAUCAGUAUUUGACAAAGUCACUCAGAUCUUUUCACUUGCCCAUUUUUUUCCUGCUCCCAACACAUGGAAUUCAGGUCCUGACUGUUCACUUGUUGCCUAAUAUAUCACACCCCUUGACAGGUACCACUGUAACGAUCUAUUCAAUGUUAUUCACUU